GGAAGGGUACAGCUCAAGUGGUAGAGCGCAUGCUUCUCACGCACGAGGUCCUGGCUUCAAUCCCCAGUACCUCCA
rfam:Camelus ferus unplaced genomic scaffold scaffold844, whole genome shotgun sequence.